GUUUCCUCAGCACAUCCAUCUGUCCAGUAUACUGGAGGGAUCGAUUGGCCUCGCUGCCUUAGGGUGUCCUUGAGCUGUGAGUUCCUGCUGGUUUCUCAGCAACAGUUGAUCAUCUUUGUGAAGGUGACUGGCUCACUGCUUUCGGAUGAAUCGUUCCAGCCCCAGAAGGCGAUGAGGUCCCACCAACCCCAGAGUGGGUCACGCGUACUGCUGACCAGGAGUUCCCCUCGCCACAGGAUGGAUUCUCACCCAGAGACCUGGCCCCCUCCGGUGAUGAUGGUGUGGCUGGAGUAUUUAACAUACCUCUCGGUGAUGGGCACUGUUAGAACCAACUCCCAGCAUCAGCUGAGUGUUCCCCAUCAGCAGCACAGAGGCUCAGCU